GAUGAACGCUGGCGGCGUGCCUAACACAUGCAAGUCGAACGGAGUUUAUAUUAUGAAGUUUUCGGAUGGAUUAAUAUAAACUUAGUGGCGGACGGGUGAGUAACGCGUGGGUAACCUGCCCUAUGGAAAGGAAUAGCCUCGGGAAACUGGGAGUAAUGCCUUAUAAUACAUUGAAGUCGCAUGGCUUUGAUGUUAAACGCUCCGGUGCCAUAGGAUGGACCCGCGUCCCAUUAGCUAGUUGGUGAGAUAACAGCCCACCAAGGCGACGAUGGGUAACCGGUCUGAGAGGGCGAACGGUCACACUGGAACUGAGACACGGUCCAGACUCCUACGGGAGGCUG
rnacentral:rRNA from 1 species